rnacentral:misc_RNA from 1 species
AGAGUUUGUAACACCCGAAGCCGGUGGCGUAACCCUUUUAGGGAGCGAGCCGUCUAAGGUGGGACAAAUGAUUAGGGUGAAGUCGUAACAAGGUAGCCGUAGGAGAACCUGCGGCUGGAUCACCUCCUUUCUAAGGAAACAGACUGAAAGUCUGACGGAAACCUGCACACACGAAACUUUGUUUAGUUUUGAGGGGACGACCCUCAAGCACCCUAACGGGUGCGACUUUGUUCUUUGAAAACUGGAUAUCAUUGUAUUAAUUGUUUUAAAUUGCCGAGAACACAGCGUAUUUGUAUGAGUUUCUGAAAAAGAAAUUCGCAUCGCAUAACCGCUGACGCAAGUCAGUACAGGUUAAGUUACAAAGGGCGCACGGUGGAUGCCUUGGCACUAGGAGCCGAUGAAGGACGGAACUAAUACCGAUAUGCUUCGGGGAGCUAUAAGUAAGCUUUGAUCCGGAGAUUUCCGAAUGGGGGAACCCAGUACACAUCAGUGUAUUGCUUGUCAGUGAAUACAUAGCUGGCCGGCGGCAGACGCGGGGAACUGAAACAUCUAAG